CACAAAUCCGUCAGGAAAUGCGCCUCAUUGCAUAUCUUUGUGCUUACCGUAUGGUCAACAUAGAGGAAUGUUUUCAGAGUACUAGCAUCAUGACACGCCUGAGGGAAAGCGAAUGAAGCAACAUUAUUGGUCUGCUCCAAGGUCUCCACAAGUUCCUCCCAUCGUGUGCGUGGUAUACACAUUACAACAGUAAUGGCCUGAAUGAGUGAGCAAGACCAGCACCCCUGGAUUGGUUUCUCUGAUGGCAACACCACAGGAGAUACAUUGUGUGAG